AAACAUGAGAGUUUGAUCCUGGCUCAGGAUGAACGCUGGCGGCGUGCUUAACACAUGCAAGUCGAACGAAGCAGUUUCAAAGAAGCCUUCGGGCGGAAAUGAGAUUGACUGAGUGGCGGACGGGUGAGUAACGCGUGGGUAAUCUGCCUCAUACAGGGGGAUAACAGUUAGAAAUGACUGCUAAUACCGCAUAAGCGCACAGAGCUGCAUGGCUCAGUGUGAAAAACUCCGGUGGUAUGAGAUGAGCCCGCGUCUGAUUAGGUAGUUGGUGAGGUAACGGCCCACCAAGCCGACGAUCAGUAGCCGACCUG
rnacentral:rRNA from 1 species